GUGCCAGCCGCCGCGGUAAUACCGGCAGCACGAGUGAUGGCCGAUUUUAUUGGGCCUAAAGCGUCCGUAGCCGGCCAGACAAGUCCGUUGGGAAAUCGACGCGCUCAACGCGUCGGCGUCCAGCGGAAACUGUCUGGCUUGGGGCCGGAAGACUCGAGGGGUACGUCCGGGGUAGGAGUGAAAUCCCGUAAUCCUGGACGGACCGCCGGUGGCGAAAGCGCCUCGAGAGGACGGACCCGACGGUCAGGGACAAAAGCUAGGGUCUCGAACCGGAUUAGAAACCCCGGUAGUCC
rnacentral:rRNA from 1 species